CAGAAAACCCCUGGGGAGCCUCUGGCUGGGAAGGGAGGAUCUGGGCACCUGGACCAGCUCCUCCCUGCAGGUGCCAGCUCCUCCCUUCCCAGUCACCAGGACCAGCAUCUGCUCCCCUG
rnacentral:precursor_RNA from 7 species